GACGAACGCUGGCGGCGUGCCUAAUACAUGCAAGUCGACCUUAGUGGCGAACGGGUGAGUAACACGUGGGUAACCUGCCCAUCAGAAGGGGAUAACACUUGGAAACAGGUGCUAAUACCGUAUACUGUUGGAUGGCCCCGCGGGGCAUUAGCUAGUGGGAGAGGUAACGGCUCACAAAGGCAACGAUGCAUAGCCGACCUGAGAGUGUGAUCAGUCACACUGGAACUGAGACACGGUCCAGACUCCUACGGGAGGCAGCAGUGGGGAAUAUUGGACAAUGGGCGAAAGCCUGAUCCAGCCAUGCCGCGUGUGUGAAGAAGGUCUUCGGAUUGUAAAGCACUUUAAGUUGGGAGGCGUUACCAACAGAAUAAGCACCGGCUAACUUCGUGCCAGCAGCCGCGGUAAUUC
rnacentral:rRNA from 1 species